AGUGAACGCUGGCGGUAGGCCUAACACAUGCAAGUCGAACGGCAGCACAGUAAGAGCUUGCUCUUACGGGUGGCGAGUGGCGGACGGGUGAGGAAUACAUCGGAAUCUACUUUUUCGUGGGGGAUAACGUAGGGAAACUUACGCUAAUACCGCAUACGACCUACGGGUGAAAGCAGGGGAUCUUCGGACCUUGCGCGAUUGAAUGAGCCGAUGUCGGAUUAGCUAGUUGGCGGGGUAAAGGCCCACCAAGGCGACGAUCCGUAGCUGGUCUGAGAGGAUGAUCAGCCACAAUGGAACUGAGACACGGUUCAGACUCCUACGGGAGGCAGGAGUGGGGAAUAUUGGACAAUGGGCGCAAGCCUGAUCCAGCCAUACCGCGUUGGUGAAGAAGGCCUUCGGGUUGUAAAGCCCUUUUGUUGAGAAAGAAAAGCAGCAGGUUAAUACCCCGCUGUUCUGGCGGUACCCAAAGAAUAAGGACCGGCUAACUUCGUG
rnacentral:rRNA from 1 species